CCUACGGGAGGCAGCAGUGGGGAAUAUUGGACAAUGGGGGGAACCCUGAUCCAGCCAUGCCGCGUGUGUGAAGAAGGCCCUCGGGUUGUAAAGCACUUUCAGUGAGGAAGAACGCCUGGUGGUUAAUACCCAUCAGGAAAGACAUCACUCACAGAAGAAGCACCGGCUAACUCCGUGCCAGCAGCCGCGGUAAUACGGAGGGUGCGAGCGUUAAUCGGAAUUACUGGGCGUAAAGCGCGCGUAGGUGGCUUGAUAAGCCGGUUGUGAAAGCCCCGGGCUCAACCUGGGAACUGCAUCCGGAACUGUCAAGCUUGAGUGCAGGAGAGGAAGGUAGAAUUCCCGGUGUAGCGGUGAAAUGCGUAGAGAUCGGGAGGAAUACCAGUGGCGAAGGCGGCCUUCUGGACUGACACUGACACUGAGGUGCGAAAGCGUGGGUAGCAAACAGGAUUAGAUACCCUUGUAGUC
rnacentral:rRNA from 1 species